GUGGGGAAUAUUGGACAAUGGGGGGAACCCUGAUCCAGCCAUGCCGCGUGUGUGAAGAAGGCCUUUUGGUUGUAAAGCACUUUAAGCGAGGAGGAGGCUACCGAGAUUAAUACUCUUGGAUAGUGGACGUUACUCGCAGAAUAAGCACCGGCUAACUCUGUGCCAGCAGCCGCGGUAAUACAGAGGGUGCAAGCGUUAAUCGGAUUUACUGGGCGUAAAGCGCGCGUAGGUGGCCAAUUAAGUCAAAUGUGAAAUCCCCGAGCUUAACUUGGGAAUUGCAUUCGAUACUGGUUGGCUAGAGUAUGGGAGAGGAUGGUAGAAUUCCAGGUGUAGCGGUGAAAUGCGUAGAGAUCUGGAGGAAUACCGAUGGAGAAGGCAGCCAUCUGGCCUAAUACUGACACUGAGGUGCGAAAGCAUGGGGAGCAAACAGGAUUAGAAACCCCAGUAGUCC
rnacentral:rRNA from 1 species